rnacentral:rRNA from 1 species
AUUGAACGCUGGCGGCAGGCCUAACACAUGCAAGUCGAACGAGUGGCGGACGGGUGAGUAAUGUCUGGGAAACUGCCUGCUGGAGGGGGAUAACUACUGGAAACGGUAGCUAAUACCGCAUACCCUCGGAUGUGCCCCGAUGGGAUUAGCUAGUAGGUGGGGUAACGGCGCACCAAGGAGACGAUCCCUAGCUGGUCUGAGAGGAUGACCAGCCACACUGGAAAUGGGAAACGGUACAGACUCCGAAGGGAGGCAGAAGUGGGGAAUAUUGCACAAUGGGAGCAAGCCUGAUGCAGCCAUGCCGCGUGUAUGAAGAAGGCCUUCGGGUUGUAAAGUACUUUCAGCGGGGAGGCGUUACCCGCAGAAGAAGCACCGGCUAACUCCGUGCCAGCAGCCGCGGUAAUAC